GUUUCCGUAGUGUAGUGGUUAUCACAUUCGCCUCACACGCGAAAGGUCCCCAGUUCGAAACUGGGCGGAAACA
rnacentral:tRNA from 1 species